GUGUGUGUGUGUGUGUGUGUGUGUGUGUGUGUGUGUUUAUGGGAAAAAGAGGCAGGUAUUCACAGGUCUCGGCUUUCUUCCUCUUCCCUCCUUUCUUUUGUUACAGAUUCCCUCACUGAAAGAGGAACUUCAGAUUCCUUUUCAAAGACCCGGGACCUUUGGCACACACGCAGACACCUGGACAAACUGCAACUAACAUUUAAACCCCACAACUUUAUUUUUAAGACACCACAUCUGCAUUCUUUUCUUCUGGUGUGGCCUCCUUCCUUUCAUCUCUCUCCUCUCCUAUUCUCCUUCCACUUAGCACUCCCUCUCUUUACAGUCCAUUUUCUCCCUUCCUACCACUCCCUUCUCUACGAUGGCAACUUCUAUUCCUCCUCCCCAACCGAGAGGCAUCGACUUCAGCCUGCCGACCUGCGGAGAAAUUCAGUGCAAUGACCACGGUACCUGUGUGCCUCCUCUGGGUGGUGGCACUGAGAUGGUGUGCGAGUGUAUGCUGGGCUACCAGGGAGAAUUCUGCGACGAAACAGUCAACGGGGCGCUAAGUAUACCGCUGACCCUGACUGUGCUGGCCGUCAUCAUCGGGAUGCUGAUUGUGGCUUUCAUUGUUGCCAAGAUGAGGCAAAAGCAAAAGAAAAGACACAGGAAACUUAUGGCACAAAAAGAGGGAUACAACAUCGCUGUGUAAUGUGGAUAAAUCUCCAUUGUGCCUGAGGUUAACCAUGACAUUGUGGCCAGUGACACUCCAUCAGCAUUCUUCUGCAGCUUCUGCUUAUAGCACAGUUUGUUGAAUUUUGUAAAAAGGAAAUUACAUCUACUACUCUUGAUGGCUGACUUGUGGAUACUCCUCUUUGACUGAUGCUGCAGCAUCCCAGAAACCCAAACACUGAACUGAAUGGAGCUUUAAGAGUGACACAACUUCACUGCAGUAAUUGUGUUUUUCAUGUAUCAAUUCAUGAUGGAAAAACUGCACAGUAUAUCCCCAAACACAUGAUUAAUUCAGGACAUGUAUCACAGAGCUUUAAAGCUGAUAAUUUAGACAGGAAAUAGAUGCCUGACUUGCAGUAUGUUUACAGGCAUGGGUAUAACACUGGUAUUUUGUUAAGCUGUCUUUACUAGAGUGUUUACCUCACGAACGCAGCCGAGGCUUCAAGCUGUUGUUGAAACAAGACAUUUGCUGUUUUUCAUCUCUACAGCAGCAUACAUUUAGGGAUAACACCUUUGUGUCCAUAUUUCCGUAUAGUAUACAGUGUACUCUCCAAGUGUUUAACGCAAAGAAAUGCAUCUCUUUACAGAUGGAUAAAAACAGGACCGCAUAAACAGCAGAAAAGUAAAUUCUGACUGUUUUUUACCAUCCAGUCUUUUUAUUUUUAUUAACCUUUAUUUAUACAAGUAAAAUCUCAUUGAAACCCAGGGUCUCAUUUACAAGAGAGACCUGUUCCAGGUAGGCAGCAGCAGAACACAAAGUUACAGACUAACUGAGCAUACAGGAGACACAACACAAAACACAAACAUUAAAGUAGUAUAGUGCAAACUACAAAGUGCAAAGAAGAAUAGGACUGGUUAAGCACAUGUGCAGACCCCCACAGUCUGUCUCAUCAGCCUUCCUACAAGCAAUUUGAAGUCCCCUAAAGGAAUAAAGCUGGACAGCUUCAGCCUCUGCUGGAGCACGCACAAAGAACUUUAGGCAGCGGUGCGCUCUUCCACUGCGGUAGCACAUACACAAUGAAUGGGUUUGUCGGCGGAGGUCUGCGCUUUGUGCACUCUGUGUGAAAAGGGCUUUAUUUCCACCCUGCCCAGCAGCGGUACCGUGGCGAACGGUCCCUAAAGGCCUCUACACAUGAUCAGCUGUAAAAUGUUAAUGUACUUUCAGGACCAGAAAAAAAACAAAAGGAAGAGUUUUGCAAGCAUAUCAGAGAUUACAAAGGUUCAUAACAGAAACGUAACUGUUCAAUUAUUAUUGGAAAAAAAGAGGACAUUUUUCAUUGAAAAUUGAUAUGUGAAAAACAACAAUUUAGGAAUGAGGUUUUGUCACUUCAGUUAUUUUCUUAUUAGUGCAAUAAUAAUGUUCUAGAUUUCCUUUUUAGUGCCCUGUAUCCAUUACCAGCUUUUUUAUAUUUUUUACUUUAAUACUCGUCGUGUUAUUUAUAGAAUUUUGAUGCGUUAUUGUGGCUACCUAUAGAAUAUUAAAUAAUUGUACAAGACGUAGAUGCAACCAUUUUGUUAUUGUGGGCAUAAUCUUUGACUUCUUACGUACUGAAUUUGUCACUCUGCAAGAAAUGAACAGACUUUAAUGGAUUAAAUGAUCACGUUCGCCGUUUGAGAGCCCAGUGAGAAAUGUCAUGAUUUGUCUGUACCGCAAUUCUACUUCCUUGAUCACAUUUCCUAUAUGAAGAAGCUUAUUUCCAUAGAUGAGCUGAUUGUGUCCUUUAUCACCGGCUACCUUUGCACAAUGAUGCAAAUGUUCACCUAUCACUACUCUCUUUGACGAAACAUAGCUUCCUUUUAAAUACAGAGAAAGCACUGGUGACUGCGACAGUGAUGGUGAUUCUUAUUGCCGUGUUUUUGUACACAGGAAGGAGUGUGUUUAUACAGGUGUUGAAAACCAAAAAUGGUUUCCAUAUCACGAGGGGUAAGCCAGGGAUUUUAACCAGAUUUGAUCUGUCAUUACCUUUUGAUGAAGACUUUAGUCUUUACUCCGUCCUUAGUUACUUUGAAGAGUGUAGCCAGUGUUAAGUGCUUUUAUGUGCUGUAUUGUCUGUUUCUUUUGUACACUACUGACUGAAUUACUAUGCUGUGUAUGCCUGUAUUCUAUUGAUAGCAAAAUAUAUAUAGCCUAUGAAUAUAUAUAUAUAUGAUCUUGUCUUUCUCUCUGUAUUUGUGUUGCUGGAUUACACAGUAAUUCAUGUAGUCAGACUGCAUAUAACCACUGAACAUUGAUUGUGGAGGAGAUUUUGAUGACUGUCGUAUCAUCUGCAAACAAUCUUAAUCCUCUGGCAUUUAUGAGGCUGUAGAAUAAAAACUGUGUACCCAGGUGUGUGUGUUGGGCACACUGAGCAUGUACAUUUUUGUAUAUAAACAGAGUGUAAGUUGCUGAA